GCGUGAGGGUUUAAAUGAGAAAAUUCAGUAUUUGUGGACACUCUACUGGUGUAGAAAUGCUCAACGAAGAACACGCGUCAAUCGGGUGCCGGUCGAGGUGGAGGAGCGUUCGAGAGCUGUGCGGUCACAGAGGGGGUCGUUCCGGAGCGUCAGUCCCUUGUCGGUCUUUUCGAGUCUUUUGUGUUUCAUUUUACAUUUGUAAUUUUCUUUGUAAUAAUUUCGAAACAAAUCUUCUCUCUCUUGUUUUAACCAAAUGGAGUUUUUAUCUUUUUA